UACAGAGGUCUCAAGCGUUGUUCGGAUUCAUUGGGCGUAAAGGGUGCGUAGGCGGCGCGGUAAGUCGGGUGUGAAAUCUCGGAGCUUAACUCCGAAACUGCAUUCGAUACUGCCGUGCUUGAGGACUGGAGAGGAGACUGGAAUUUACGGUGUAGCGGUGAAAUGCGUAGAUAUCUGGAGGAAUACCGGUGGCGAAGGCGGCAUCCUGGACCGGCAUUGACGCUGAGGAGCGAAAGCUAGGGGAGCAAACGGG
rnacentral:rRNA from 1 species